rnacentral:lncRNA from 1 species
AUAAAAUCCUUUACAGACAAGCAAAUGCUGAGAGAUUUUGUCACCACCAGGCCUUGCCUAGAAGAGCUCCUCAAGGAAGCACUAAACAUGGAAAGGAACAGCCAGUACCAGCCACUGUAAAAACAUGCCAAAUUGUAAAGACCAUCGAGGCUAGGAAGAAACUGCAUCAACUAACGAGCAAAAUAACCAGCUAACAUCAUAAUGACAGGAUCAAAUUCACACAUAACAAUAUUAACUUUAAAUGUAAAUGGACUAAAUUCUCCAAUUAAAAGACACAGCCUCAAAAUAAAGGGAUGCAGGAAGAUCUACUAAGCAAAUGGAAAACAAGCUAAAGAGCAUAGUUUACAUUAGAAUUCGCUCUGAUGUUGUGCAUUCUAUGUUGGUCAGGCUUGAGCCUAGAGGCUCAAGUGAUUCUCAUGCCUCAGCUUCCUGAGUAGCUU